rnacentral:rRNA from 1 species
UACGUAGGUGGCAAGCGUUGUCCGGAAUUAUUGGGCGUAAAGGGCUCGCAGGCGGUUCCUUAAGUCUGAUGUGAAAGCCCCCGGCUCAACCGGGGAGGGUCAUUGGAAACUGGGGAACUUGAGUGCAGAAGAGGGUAGUGGAACUCCAUGUGUAGCGGUGGAAUGCGUAGAUAUAUGGAAGAACACCAGUGGCGAAGGCGACUCUCUGGUCUGUAACUGACGCUGAGGAGCGAAAGCGUGGGGAGCGA